AGUGGGAUUGCUGGGUCAAAUAGUGGUUCCAUUUCACGUUUUCUGAGGAAUCUCUAUAUUGCUUUCUGUAAUGGUUGCACCAAUUUGCAGUCCCACCAGCAAU
rnacentral:pre_miRNA from 1 species